rnacentral:rRNA from 1 species
UGGGGAAUAUUGGACAAUGGGGGCAACCCUGAUCCAGCAAUGCCGCGUGUGUGAAGAAGGCCUGAGGGUUGUAAAGCACUUUUAGUGGGGAGGAAUGCGUAUGCGUGAAUAAUGUAUACGAGUGACGUUACCCAAAGAAAAAGCACCGGCUAACUCUGUGCCAGCAGCCGCGGUAAUACAGAGGGUGCAAGCGUUAAUCGGAAUCACUGGGCGUAAAGAGCGCGUAGGUUGAUAAUUAAGUUGGAUGUGAAAGCCCCGGGCUCAACCUGGGAUGGUCAUUCAAGACUGGUUAUCUAGAGUAUGGUAGAGGGAAGUGGAAUUUCCGGUGUAGCGGUGAAAUGCGUAGAUAUCGGAAGGAACACCAGUGGCGAAGGCGGCUUCCUGGACCAAUACUGACACUGAGGCGCGAAAGCGUGGGGAGCAAACAGG